ACUAAAAUUUCUGUGAAAUAAUUAUUUAAUUUGAUUUUCUUUUCAUUAAACAUACCAAGUUGUGUUUAUCUUUAUCUCAAAUCAUAUCAGUUUUGUAAACAUACUACAAGUGUUUUCUAGUUUACAUAUGCACUGUAGGGAAAUAGCGACGUAUCGUGUGUAGCACACAACGCUUUUCCUCUUGAUCACGUUACAAUGCUUUACAUACAUUCUCUAUGUUCUGUGUGUUCCAAUUUUCUUAUAAAAUUACUCAUCACUGGUUCCCUGUUCCUGUUAAAGGAACCCUGACGUGGACGCCAAAGAUUACGUUGGAUUUGGAAUCUGCACCAAGUUUCCGCACUGAUCAUCGAGGAUAUCGAAGCCUUCAAACUUAUUUUCAUCUCAUCGCAUCUGAAUCUUGUACAUCAUAUAUUAUGAGGAGGUAUUAUUGAGAAAACUGUCAUAUGUGUAGCAAAUAAAUAAUAUAAUUUUCA